AGUGAACGCUGGCGGUAGGCCUAACACAUGCAAGUCGAACGGCAGCACAGUAAGAGCUUGCUCUUACGGGUGGCGAGUGGCGGACGGGUGAGGAAUACAUCGGAAUCUACUUUUUCGUGGGGGAUAACGUAGGGAAACUUACGCUAAUACCGCAUACGACCUACGGGUGAAAGCAGGGGAUCUUCGGACCUUGCGCGAUUGAAUGAGCCGAUGUCGGAUUAGCUAGUUGGCGGGGUAAAGGCCCACCAAGGCGACGAUCCGUAGCUGGUCUGAGAGGAUGAUCAGCCACACUGGAACUGAGACACGGUCCAGACUCCUACGGGAGGCAGCAGUGGGGAAUAUUGGACAAUGGGCGCAAGCCUGAUCCAGCCACACCGCGUGGGUGAAGAAGGCCUUCGGGUUGUAAAGCCCUUUUGUUGGGAAAGAAAAGCAGCAGGUUAAUACCCCGCUGUUCUGACGGUACCCAAAGAAUAAGCGCCGGCUAACUUCGUG
rnacentral:rRNA from 1 species